GACGAACCGUGCGAACGUUGUUCGGAAUCACUGGGCAUAAAGGGCGCGUAGGCGGCUUAUCAAGUCAGGGGUGAAAUCCGGCAGCUCAACUGUCGAAGUGCCCUUGAUACUGACGAGCUCGAGGGAGGUAGGGGUGUGCGGAACUUCCGGUGGAGCGGUGAAAUGCGUUGAUAUCGGAAGGAACGCCGGUGGCGAAAGCGGCGCACUGGACCUCCUCUGACGCUGAGGCGCGAAAGCUAGGGGAGCAAACGGG
rnacentral:rRNA from 1 species